UCCCAAACCCAUGUGAACUUAUCUCUUUGUUGCCUCGGCGCAAGCUACCCGGGACCUCGCGCCCCGGGGGGCCCGCCGGCGGACAAACCAAACUCUGUUAUCUUCGUUGAUUAUCUGAGUGUCUUAUUUAAUAAGUCAAAACUUUCAACAACGGAUCUCUUGGUUCUGGCAUCGAUGAAGAACGCAGCGAAAUGCGAUAAGUAAUGUGAAUUGCAGAAUUCAGUGAAUCAUCGAAUCUUUGAACGCACAUUGCGCCCAUUAGUAUUCUAGUGGGCAUGCCUGUUCGAGCGUCAUUUCAACCCCUAAGCACAGCUUAUUGUUGGGACUCUACGGCUUCGUAGUUCCCCAAAGACAUUGGCGGAGUGGCAGCAGUCCUCUGAGCGUAGUAAUUCUUUAUCUCGCUUUUGUUAGGCGCUGCCCCCCCGGCCGUAAAACCCCCAAUUUUUUCUGGUUGACCUCGGAUCAGGUAGGAAUACCCGCUGAACUUAAGCAUAUCAAAA
rnacentral:rRNA from 1 species